rnacentral:siRNA from 1 species
AUGGUCCCUGCGGAUGCUAAC